AGCCACAGCCAUAUCACCCUGCAGCCCAAGACUGGUUGCCCGCUGAAGCUAAGCAGGGUUGAGCCUGGUCAGACCUGAUGGGAGACCUCCUGGGAAAACUAGGUUGCUGUUGGAA
rnacentral:rRNA from 1 species